GCCUGGUUGGCUCAGUUGGUGGAGCAUGUGACUCUUGAUCUUGGGAUUGUGAGUUCAAGCCCCACACUGGGUG
rnacentral:tRNA from 1 species